rnacentral:rRNA from 1 species
GAGUUUGAUCCUGGCUCAGAUUGAACGCUGGCGGCAGGCCUAACACAUGCAAGUCGAGCGGAUGACGGGAGCUUGCUCCUUGAUUCAGCGGCGGACGGGUGAGUAAUGCCUGGGAAUCUGCCUGGUAGUGGGGGGACAACGUUUCGAAAGGAACGCUAAUACCGCAUACGUCCUACGGGAGAAAGCAGGGGACCUUCGGGCCUUAGCGCUAUCAGGAUGAGCCUAGGUCGGAUUAGCUAGUUGGUGGGGUAAUGGCUCACCAAGGCGACGAUCCGGUAACUGGUCUGAGAGGACUGAUCAGUCACACUGGAACUGAGACACGGUCCAGACUCCUACGGGAGGCAGCAGUGGGGAAUAGUUGGACAAUGGGCGAAAGCCUGAUCCAGCCAUGCCGCGUGUGUGAAG